AAGUGGAGCAAUCCAUGAGUAAAGUGGCGUACGGGUGAGUAACACGUGACUAACCUACCCUUGAGUGGGGGAUAACUUCGGGAAACCGAGGCUAAUACCGCAUAAUACCGAGAGGUCAAAGGAGCAAUUCGCUUUAGGAGGGGGUCGCGGCUGAUUAGCUAGUUGGUAGGGUAAUGGCCUACCAAGGCAAUGAUCAGUAUCCGGCCUGAGAGGGCGCACGGACACACUGGAACUGAAACACGGUCCAGACUCCUACGGGAGGCAGCAGUGGGGAAUUUUGCACAAUGGGGGAAACCCUGAUGCAGCAACGCCGCGUGGAGGAUGAAGUCCCUUGGG
rnacentral:rRNA from 1 species